GUUCACGAAUCGCGAAUUACAAGUCGAACAACCUGUUGGAUCCGAGCCCUGAGGGAUUUUAAUGAAAUCGGUAGACAAGUUUGUGACCCACAUCCUCAAAGUAGAAAAGACGAGUUUUACCAAUAAGGAUUCGUCGAGUUUGUCCGGACAACCAAAAACGGUCGAGCGAAAUUGACACGAAUCCUGGAAUCCAUUUUUAUUCGCUGUAAAACGAUCUUACCUUUUUUAAUAAAAUAAAAAGUUCACUCAAUCGCCGUAA
rnacentral:lncRNA from 1 species